rnacentral:rRNA from 1 species
UACGAAGGGGGCUAGCGUUGUUCGGAAUCACUGGGCGUAAAGGGCGCGUAGGCGGCCGAUCAAGUCGGGGGUGAAAGCCUGUGGCUCAACCACAGAAUUGCCUUCGAUACUGUUUGGCUUGAGACCGGAAGAGGUUAGUGGAGCUGCGAGUGUAGAGGUGAAAUUCGUAGAUAUUCGCAAGAACACCAGUGGCGAAGGCGGACCA